rnacentral:rRNA from 1 species
AUGGUGACGUUGAGCUGGAAGAGGAUGUUGAGCGCCCCGCGGAUGUGCGCCGGCGCGAUCUCGGAGAGGAAGAGCGGCGCCGCCUGGUUGCCGAAGCCGACGCCGACGCCGAGGGAGAUGCGGCCGAUGAUGAGCAUGGCGAUGUUGACGGCCCCCGCGCACAGGCCGGCGCCGAUGAGGAAGAAGACGGAGGCGGCCUGCAUGGUGCGCUUGCGGCCGAAGCGCGUGCACGCCAUGGACGCCCCGAGGCUGGUGACGAGCGCGGCCAGGUAGAGCGACGACGUGAAGAGCUGCAGCCGCUGGUCGUCGAACUUGCAGUAG